CCUACGGGAGGCAGCAGUGGGGAAUUUUGGACAAUGGGCGAAAGCCUGAUCCAGCAAUGCCGCGUGAGUGAAGAAGGCCUUCGGGUUGUAAAGCUCUUUUGUCAGGGAAGAAACGGUGUGGGCUAAUAUCCCGCACUAAUGACGGUACCUGAAGAAUAAGCACCGGCUAACUACGUGCCAGCAGCCGCGGUAAUACGUAGGGUGCAAGCGUUAAUCGGAAUUACUGGGCGUAAAGCGUGCGCAGGCGGUUUUAGAAGUUUGUCGUGAAAGCCCCGGGCUCAACCUGGGAAUUGCGAUGAAGACUGCAAGGCUUGAAUCUGGCAGAGGGGGGUAGAAUUCCACGUGUAGCAGUGAAAUGCGUAGAGAUGUGGAGGAACACCGAUGGCGAAGGCAGCCCCCUGGGUCAAGAUUGACGCUCAUGCACGAAAGCGUGGGGAGCAAACAGGAUUAGAUACCCUGGUAGUCCACGCCCUAAACGAUGUCUACUAGUUGUCGGGUUUUAAUAACUUGGUAACGCAGCUAACGCGUGAAGUAGACCGCCUGGGGAUACGGUCGCAAGAUUAAAACCUCAAAGGAAUUGACGG
rnacentral:rRNA from 1 species